AUUUGCUAAAGGUUGACGAUCGAGAUUGAGACACUAAAGUUCGUCCAUUUAUAUUAAAAGUCUUUAAUGUCGAGCCAUUAUGAUUGGAAAGAAAAGUCUUUCUCUAAAAUGACCUAUAGAUUAAGGGAAGGUCGUUCUUUACUCAAAAACAAUUAGGAGAAAUGCUCAAGCCUCAAGGCAUAGAUUAAAAUAUGACCCGAUUAAUUACUAACUCAUUAAGUUAUAACUAGAUUUUACCCCGUGGUGUGCAGUAUUUUAUGUGUAUUUGUUAUGUAAAAUUUUAACAGUUAUAUUUUUAAAUACGUACAGUUAUAUACAAAGUUCGUUUAACAUAGUCUUUUGAUUGCCAAUAUGAACAAUGUAUCUUUUGUGGUUUAUAUAUAUCGAAAAUAGCUAGAUAGGUAUCAGCGUUAGAGUGAAAAAGGAAUUUCCUGCUUUCUUUUUUGUUAAACAAAAACGUACUUUUAUCUACCAGGGUCUAUUUUCUUUCAAAAUUUUUAUAUAGUAUUCGUGAUUUUGUGUAAUAUAAAUGUUAUAGUAUUAUAAUAUAAAUUUUCUUUCAAAAUUUAUAUGUACUAUUUGUGAUUUUGUGUAAUAAAAUUACUGAAUUUCUUUAGUGAUUAAUAUAAACGUUAUAGUGUUAUAAUACUAAAUUAUAAUAUAGUUGUAUUUGCAAAAAGUAAUUAAUGUAGAAUUUUAAACGUCAGAAUUUACAUAUACCUACGGUCUAAUUGUAAAUCAUUUUUUCCGAAGAAUAUGGUACAUUUGUGUGAAUCAUUUUUUUCUUUUGAUUAAACGAAAACACUUUCGUAAUGUUCCGAUUUUUUGUAAUUUUGUUGAUAAGUAUCAUGAUUAAAAAAUUAGUGAUUAAAUAGUUGAUAUUAAGAGUGUUUGGUAAUAUUAAUAUGUUCGUUAAUCCAUGUAGUUUUAAUUUUGAUGUGUGCGAAUACUAAGUAAUUUUUUUAUAACUUUUGUACGUUUUAGUAUAUUUUGUUAGCAAACUGUACUCAAUAUGUUAUUAUGAUGAUAUUACAUGUCUCAUGUGUGCUUUUCUUCAAACUGUUUGUGUAUUUUUUUUUUUUUUAACAAUAGGUAUUAUUACACAGUAGUUAUAGGUUUCACGUGUUUUAAUCUAAGAAUUAAAUCAAUAAGCUGUUCAAUUAUAUUGAAGCCAUUCUAUCAAAUAACAAACAGUUCACCAGAUCUAUGAUAUUAGCAUAAACGUACAUUAUAUUAUACUAAUAUAAAAGAUCAAACGUAAGACUUAAUUUUAGUCAUAGUUUUAGAAUCACUACACAUGAGGCUUGCCACUCUAAUCUUUAAUAUCAUAUUAGCACAAAAGACAAUGUUUUCUAAUAUGUACGUUUUCUAAUAGUUUACGAAAGUAUACAUUUUUGUGAAGAAACAAUACAUCAAUACCUGUUAAAGAAUCAAUAAGUAAACGAUGGAUUCCCGAGGACACUGGAACAUGAGAGCAAAACCAUUAGAUAGAAAUCUUUAUAUAUGAAGGUUAAAAGAAGUUAGACAAUCAUUCAAAUCCAUUUUUCAUUUUAUAAAACGUGAGAAGCAACAAAGGAUUUGACACACUUAUUAUUCCUGCAAAAUUUUCCACAAAUCAAACAUAAUAAUCAUUAUAAU
rnacentral:lncRNA from 1 species